GGGGUUUUCUCCUUCCCUGUUACAGGAACUGGGGGGGCAGCCCAUCUCUGCAGUGACCGGAGGACUCCGCUGAACUUGGGUCACACUGCCAUGGCACCUUACUUUAGCCACUCUGACCCGACAAAGGUGAUUCUGAAACACUGGACAAGAGCAGGACAGGGACUCCAAAGUGGGACAAAACAAUAAUGUUUAGAGCUGAGCGACCACCUGUUUAAGCAGAAAGAAUGGAAAGAAAUGUCUGUUUGCCUUUGGUGGAAACGUCACUGGUUUGAGGUCUGACAACGCAGGUUGGAAAUCAGUGAGGAUUCUGGACACUAUCCAGUGUCCUGUUGUGCAAAGUUCAGCACAAAAAUAUCACCACUUCCAGCUGUUUUCUCAGUUCUUUCCUAUAUACUGCAUAACUCUGUGCCUGUUGAUUUCUUCAACUCGCUGAACAUGAUAUUCAGAGCCGGCAAUGAAAAUCCGCUCGGAAGUGACUGAUCCGUGGAAUGGAGUAUUUUUCUGCUCAAGAUGGACUUCUCACGCCUUUCAGCAGUGAGCGUGAGAACGAGAAACACAUCCAACAACACACAACAUGGACAGUAAGAUGUAAGAAUGCAGGUGCGCUGGAGAAGGAGGGGUCUGUGCACUGCACACAGUUAGUCAUUGGAAUGGUGGUGGAGGUGAGAAAUCUUGCUGAAGUUAACAGUUGACUUUUUUUCGAAAAAGAGCAGAACGGGAUCCUUGAGUCAACUAGCUACAAGCAACCAAAUGGGUUAGGUGUACUAAGUGGCCUCAUAUCGUUUAUAACUAAACUUUGCAUUGCUCUUAUGAAGUCUAGAGGUGCUCAAAACCCUACGGGAAAAGUGCAGUGCCAAAAGUGUUUGAUGGGUCAGCGUAAAGGCCUGUCCUGAGUCAGACUCUGGCCGUGUGCUCACCCAGAGCUCGGGAGAAAGAAGAGAACGAGCCAUCUCAGACCUCAGCAUCCCAUUCUACUCACUGGGACCACGGUGAAACACUACUGUGGCAAAAAUGCGAGUGGAAAUAACACAAUAUUUGGA